rnacentral:lncRNA from 1 species
CUCAGGAAGGCCACAUGGAACGCUACUGAAUUUGGGGAUGUCAUAUGUUCUCGGCGUGCUUGGAAACACCCAAGGACAGAUCCUGAGAAGCAAGAGCAGGCUGAGUGUCAUAAUGAAGGGCACAGGGCAUGCUGGCCGGCCUCUGAGUGCCCUGCCGGAGUGCUGACUGGGGCGAUUCCUUCUGAGCUCCGUGUUCUCUGCCUGACAGUGCUGUCUCCCACUGUGCUGGCCAUACAAGCUGUGUGUCCUCUCCUGCAGAAGGCUGAUUGUGAAAACCUUUGCCACAUAAGCAGAAACAAGACAUGGGCUCUUGCAGAUAUGAAUGCCAGCAACUUUUCUCUUAUAACCUCUGGAACACAAUUUCAUCAGCUCAGCCAUGUGACUGGGAAGAAAUACCAGCUUGCAGACCAUCUGUGAGGCAGCAGUGGACCAUGGCAAGGAAGGGAAAGGAAGGGAACUUUGCCAGAAGGUUCUUCAUCCUUUGUGAGCCACUGUCCUCAAAUAUGUAAGAUUCAAAGGCCA